rnacentral:rRNA from 1 species
GACGAACGCUGGCGGCGUGCUUAACACAUGCAAGUCGAACGGUGAAGCCUUCGGGUGGAUCAGUGGCGAACGGGUGAGUAACACGUGAGCAAUCUGCCCUCGACUCUGGGAUAACUUCGGGAAACCGGAGCUAAUACCGGAUAUGACAUCUGGCCGCAUGGUCUGGGUGUGGAAAGAUUUAUCGGUCAAGGAUGAGCUCGCGGCCUAUCAGCUUGUUGGUGGGAAUGGCCACCAAGCGACGACGGGUAGCCGGCCUGAGAGGGCGACCGGCCGACACUGGGACUGAGACACGGCCCAGACUCCUACGGGAGGGCAGCAGUGGGGAAGUAUUGCGCAAUGGGCGGGAAGCCUGACGCAGCGACGCCGCGUGAGGGAUGAAGGCCUCGGUCGUAACUAC